UAAAACAUAUCGAAAAGCAGAGUAAGUAGCGAGGCUUACAAGAGAGCUUCUGGGUGGUGUAAAGAAGCAAGCGUAACUACUGAAGAUGGGCUUGGAAUGGUAUCGAUGAUUGUUAGUCGAUAACGGGUUAGCACACGUUAUUAGUGCUAGGUAAUUCUAAUUAUUUUAUUAGAGUAACCUACUGAGGCUGGGUCUGUGAAGAUUCAGCAAAUAAAGGUGGUAACGCGAGCACUCGUCCUUUGA
rnacentral:ncRNA from 1 species